AUACCUUUCUCGGCCUUUUGGCUAAGAUCAAGUGUAAUAUCUGUUUUUAUCAGUUUAAUAUCUGAUAUGUGGGCUAUCGGCUCACACGAUAUUAACUCAAUUUUUUAAGGAAAACUUAC
rfam:Nicotiana attenuata strain TT chromosome 9, whole genome shotgun sequence.